CCUACGGGUGGCAGCAGUGGGGAAUAUUGGGCAAUGGCGGAAACUCUGACCCAGCAACGCCGCGUGAAUGAUGAAGGUCUUCGGAUUCUAAAGUUCUUUUCUAAGGGAAGAAGAAAGUGACGGUAGCUUAGGAAUAAGCCUCGGCUAAAUACGUGCCAGCAGCCGCGGUAAUACGUAGGAGGCAAGCGUUAUCCGGAAUGACUGGGCGUAAGGGGUGCGUAGGUGGUUUGAUAAGUUGGUAGCGUAACUCCGAGGGUCAACCCCGGCACUACUGCCAAAACUGCCGGACUUGAGUGCAGGGGGGGCAACUGGAAUUCCUGGUGUAGCGGUGGAAUGCGUAGAUAUUAGGAGGAACACCAGUGGCGAAGGCGAGUUGCUGGGCUGUAACUGACACUGAGGCACGAAAGCGUGGGGAGCAAACAGGAUUAGAUACCCCAGUAGUC
rnacentral:rRNA from 1 species